GGGAAAGUGGCUCAGUGGUAGAGUACUUGCCUUGCAUGCAUGAGGCCCUGGGUUCGAUU
rnacentral:tRNA from 1 species